AUUCCGCCAAAAUGAAGAAGGCUGUAUUAGUUCUCAUUUUAUAUUUGUGCAACAACAUCAAUGCGUUCUGCCCUCGACGUGAAGUUUGUACUCUACAAUGUAACCCUAAAACUGUAAGCCUGUUCGAAUGUCCAUCAAAUGUCCAAUAUAAUGUACCAACUUGCCAAUCCUGCAAGACCCAAAUCUGCCAAUGUGAAGUCCAGAACAGCGAGUGCGAUUGCGGCGUUUGCAACUCCUGCAAAUGCAAGGAACCCACAAUUUAUUUCCCAGAAGUUGAAUAUCCCGUCAUGUAUGAUUACAAACCUUUUUUCUUUAACACAUGUUGGUCUGUGUGAUUAAUAAAUUUGAAUUAAA